GAUGAACGCUGGCGGCGUGCCUAAUACAUGCAAGUCGAGCGAACAGACGAUGAGCUUGCUCCUCUGACGUUAGCGGCGGACGGGUGAGUAACACGUGGAUAACCUACCUAUAAGACUGGGAUAACUUCGGGAAACCGGAGCUAAUACCGGAUAAUAUAUUGAACCGCAUGGUUCAAUAGUUAAAGACGGUUUUGCUGUCACUUAUAGAUGGAUCCGCGCCGCAUUAGCUAGUUGGUAAGGUAACGGCUUACCAAGGCGACGAUGCGUAGCCGACCUGAGAGGGUGAUCGGCCACACUGGAACUGAGACACGGUCCAGACUCCUACGGGAGGCAGCAGUAGGGAAUCUUCCGCAAUGGGCGAAAGCCUGACGGAGCAACGCCGCGUGAGUGAUGAAGGUCUUCGGAUCGUAAAACUCUGUUAUUAGGGAAGAACAAAUGUGUAAGUAACUAUGCACGUCUUGACGGUACCUAAUCAGAAAGCCACGGCUAACUACGUG
rnacentral:rRNA from 1 species